rnacentral:rRNA from 1 species
UUAAAGUUGUUGCAGUUAAAAAGCUCGUAGUUGGACUUCUGGGUUGUGAUUGUGGUCCGCCUAACGGUGUGCACUGUGGUUGCGACUCUUCUUCCCGUAGUUUGGGGGUGCACUUAGUUGUGUGCUUUUGGAAUAUGGGACCUUUACUUUGAAAAAAUUAGAGUGUUCAAAGCAGGCCUUCGCUUGAAUACAUUAGCAUGGAAUAAUAGAAUAGGACUUUGGUUCUAUUUUGUUGGUUUCUAGGACCGAAGUAAUGAUUAAUAGGGACAGUUGGGGGCAUUAGUAUUUAAUUGUCAGAGGUGAAAUUCUUGGAUUUAUGAAAGACUAACUACUGCGAAAGCAUUUGCCAAGGAUGUUUUCAUUAAUCAAGAACGAAAGUUAGGGGAUCGAAGACGAUCAGAUACCGUCGUAGUCUUAACCAUAAACUAUGCCGACUUGGGAUCGGUGGGGUGAAAUUUCGCCUUAUCGGCACCAUAUGAGAAAUCAAAGUUUUUGGGUUCUGGGGGGAGUAUGGUCGCAAGGCUGAAACUUAAAGGAAUUGACGG